rnacentral:rRNA from 1 species
UACGUGAGGCAGCAAGCGUUGUUCGGAGUUACGUGGGCGUAAAGGGUGCGUAGGCGGUCCUAUAAAGUAUGGUGUGAAAUCUCCCGGCUUAACUGGGAGGGUGACGCUAUAGACUGUGGGACUAGAGUGUGGGAGAGGAAAGUGGAAUUCCUGGAUGUAGCGGUGAAAUGCGUAGAUAUCAGGAGGAACACCGGUGGUGUAAACUGCUUUCUGGACCAUAAACUGACGGCUGGAGGCAACGGAAAAGCCGUGGGUAGCAAACAGG